CCAAUUUAAUUAAAUUUAGAAACUUAAGAAUACAAAAUUUAUGUUUGGGCACUGUUUAAAAUAGCCAAAACUUUAAAGAAAAACUUAUGAUUUUCCAGUUUUUGGAUACAGUUAAACCUCAAAUUUUCUAAACGGUCUCAAGUACAAAAACCAAAACAAUACGGUAAAUCACUAAGCGGAAGAGAAUUGUAAAUGUCCCCUAUGGCGAUCACGCUUCCUUCCUUCCCCUCGCCGGUUUGCCACCUUUGUUACCUUUGCCUAAAAAAUGAAACAUAAAAGGGGUGGGUAUAAAAAUACUCAGUAAGAGACUCACUAUCGGUCCUGUCAGGGGAAAAUAAAUUAUUAACGUCCUAUUGGAAAACCAUGUACAGUCACAGUCUUGGGAUCCCGUAGGAGGAUACACAUUUUAGUCUAACGUCCUUAUUUCAGUCUAGUGUUCUGCAGAAACACUUAUCAGUCUAAUGCUCCCGAAUGAUGCAUAAAAAUUGGUGAUCCCGUAGGACACCUACAAGGCACACAUAUCUCAAUAAAACUAACAAUUUUCCCCUCAGUCCAUUCUAAACCUUAAUUAAUCAAUCAAUUUGCAAAUUCAAAAUAAUUCGACACCUUUACAGUCAAUUUAUGCAAUCCAACACCUACUCAACAUUGUUGUAACAAUUCCUCAACAAAAAAACUUAUACACAAGUAACCCUCUUCUUAAUUCAGUUAAUUUAAUUUAGUUCUUUAACCACAUGACAGUUCAGUCAUCACAACCAACCAAGCAUAUGUACCUGUCAAUCCAUCUCAAUCCACACAGCCAAACAAAUCAAAUAAGAUUUGCAUAUCAGCCAGACAGUCAAAAUAAGAUUUGCAUAUCAGUCCAUUAGACAAUACAUCUCAAUUUCGCCGUUGAGUCCAAUAGUAGGAACCCUUACCUCAAAGUUAGGGAAGCUCCCUAAUCAAUUAAGGUCCACGAAACAAUCCUAAGCACAAUAUUGCAAAAUUCGAUUACUCUCACAAUACAUAUCUCAUUUACUUUCCUCAAAGUAGAUUUUUUGCUUACUAAAUGUGGCUAACCGAAAUCAAAAUUCACAAAUUUGUUUUAGUGGCUAACCGAAAUCAAAAUUCACAAAUUUGUUGUGAAUUCAUGUGACCCAAGGCUACUUCCAACACCUUCCAGAAUCUAUCAUUUGAACCAAUUAACCAUUAAAAUUCAUAAAAAAUUUACAAUACAAAACCAUCAAUCCUACAAUUUUCAUUCUUACCACAACUACCAGAGUAUGGCAGAAACUACAACGAUUAAAGGAAUGAGAUCUGCACGUAUAAACCGGAUUGGGGAACCGGCAACAGCUAUUUCACAGCCGGCGGACGAGGAAGUGGCACGGCACACAACGACAUGCAGUUGUCGGAUUGUGAACGGGGACAGGCGCAAUCAAAACGCAAUCCGGAUUCAACGAACGACCUGCAACUUGCAACAGAUGAUUCACGACGAAGGGAUGGCGUGCAGCAGAGAGAUGGCGUACGGUGAUUCGCAGCUCGGCUGUGCAACCCGAACGGAAGAACGAUGCAGCGGCGACAGAACGAAAAGAAAAGAUCAGACACUGGCGGAAUCUUGGAUUUUGGAUGGCACGGCGUCGCAGAUCUGAACGACGACUGCAAGGUGACGCGUACGGCUUGCUUCGCGAAUGGAGACAGAGAUGGCGGCCGACGGUUGCAGACGUAGCAGAUGAAGACGCGCUGCGGCUGGGUAGGGUAAAAAAGAAAGAGAAACGGAAGAAGAGGAGAUUGGGGUUGAGGUGGCCGGCGGCUGCAAACUGAAGGAAGAAAGAAGAGAAAAAAAACGGAAAAGAAAAGAGAAAAGAAGAAGAAAAAGAUUUUUCUUUUUCUUUUUCUUUUUUUAUAAUAAAUAUAAUAUUAAUAUAUAAUAAUAACAAUAAAUAUAUAUUAUUAUUAUAACAUUUCUAAUCCUUUUCUCUCCUAAUUUUUUUCUUUUUUUUAAAAAAAUAAAUCUUCAAAUAAAAAUAUAAUUUAAUUUAAAAGUAAGAUACUUGAAAGAAGAAGAAGAAAAAAAAAAGAAAGAAGAAGAAGAAGAAAAACAAAAAGAAAGAAGAAAGAAGAACAAGAACAAGAAGAAAAGGAAGAAGAAAGAAGAAGAAGAACAAAACAAAAAGAACGAAGGAGCUUAAUUGCUGAAGGCGAAGCAUAACGAAGAAGUCUGAUCGCUUCUCCUAGGGCGGUAGAUUUGGUGGCAAAAACCUGAUCGUUCCUAGGAGAAGCUCGACGAUGAAGAAGCUUGAUCGCUCCUGCUAGGGCGAUAGAUCUGAUGGCAAGAGCCAUAUCAUUCCUAGAAGAAGCUCAACGACGAAGAAGUCCAACGAUGAAGAAGCCCGAUCGAUCCUACUAGGGCGGUAGAUCUAAUGACAAAAGUCUGAUCGUCCCUAAAAGAAACUCGAUGACGAAGAAUUCCAACGACGAAGAAGUUCGAUCACUCCUACUAGGACAGUAGAUCUGACGGCAAAAGCCCGAUCGUCCCUAGUAAAAGCUCGACGACAAAGAAGUCUGAUGAUGAAGAAUCCUGAUCGCUCCUACUAGGGCUGUAGAUCUGACGGAAAAAGCCCGAUCGUCCCUACAAGAAGCUUGACGACGAAGAAGUCUAAUUGGUUCUACUAGGGUGGUAGAUCUGACGGAAAAAGCUCGAUCGUCCAUAGAAGAAGCUCGAUCGCUCCUACUAGGACGAUGGAUCUAACAAAAAAAGUCUGAUCGGUCCUAGAAGAAGCUCGACGACGAAGAAGCCCGAUCACUCCUACUAGGGCGGUAGAUCUGACGGCAAAAGUCUGAUCGUCCUUAGAAGAAGCUCGACGACGAAGAAGCCUGAUCGCUCCUACUAGGGCGAUAGAUCUGACGGCAAAAGUCUGAUCGUUCCUAGAAGAAGCUCAACGACGAAGAUGUAACACCUCGAACUCUAAGGUAAUUAAUUUUAAUCAGAUUGCUCUAAUUUAGGACUUUUAAUUUUAGUUGGGUGUUACUUUGUUGUUUUGGCUUAGAAAAGAAAUCUAUUUAAUGGGAAAGAAAAGAAGUGAAAGUGGAAAAGUUAAUAAUAUAAUAAUAUCAAUAUCAUGACAUAAGUAUUCUUUUUUCUUUCGUUUCGUAGCAUAAUUUUUUUUCUUAAAAAAAUUGUUCUUUCUUUUUCCGUUUCGUAAUAUAUAUUUCGGUCAUGUUCCUCCUAUUUUGUUUAAUUUUUUAUUGUUCAGUUCAUCUUCUUGUCAUGUUUGACAUAUAA
rnacentral:lncRNA from 1 species